CCCACGUUCCUUUAUCAUCAACGUAUUGUUAUCAAAAAUGUUGGUCCGCUGCAAAAGUGUUGCGAAUUACGGUCAAGGUCGUGUAUUAUCGUUAUCUAAUCGGUUGUUCAGCUCUGUUUCGUUGCAUUAGAUAGCGGUUAGCAGCUUCUGUCUGCAGCAGUUACAGCUCGUUUUUUUUUGCGGUACACAGCUGUCAGAUGAUUGUGUAAUCUGUCUACCAGUGCUCGAGUGAAGAAUUGCUGUAUUGUAUAACAUUGUCUCCAUGGUACGGGGUUUAUGGUUUUGCGUUUGAAACGUGCAAUAGAUUUAUUCGUUGAAUGAAUCUUUACAUCCAAUUGCAAUUGUGUUGAUUCAAAAUAAGGAACAUAAUUACACCAACAGGGAUGUUAAGUGAUCAUAGCAUGUUUAGAAUUCAUUUACCGUAUUCUUACACGUAUCCUUUUCGAUCUACCCAUAACUAAGGGGAAUCGGUCUCGCUCGGUUUAUACUUUCCCCAGGUAUAACGAAUUUCCCCUGCCAGCCCCGAGAAAAAGAAACCUUCUCUCUAAUAAAGGAUUUGCUCCUCUCCCAUGAAAGGAUCGUUCGGCAACCGGUCGUAUUCUCAACCGUAGGGCAGGAAAACUUUGUCUCACGGGGGUUUGCUCCUUUUGCUUCCAGCCGCGAACGGUUCUCUCCGCGUGUCCUCGGACCCGUGUCUGUACAUAAUGCACGUUUUUGAAAUGCUUGAACCGUCGUCCUAGCCAGCCCGCCAGCCAGCGCGCGGACCUCUUACGCAAAAAAAAAGAAGCCGCACCGAAUGGAAAGGAGUACGGGGAGAGAGAGAGACUUAUUUAUCGGCUUGAUUUAUGGCUUUCCGGUAGCGCGUUUCUCGCCUGGCCAUUUUUUGGAUUCGGUCGCUCGCUUUCUCGCUCCUCUUCACAUCCAUUCUCGCUCAUAGCUCGGCUACCACGGUUGCUCCUUUUUGCGUGCAGUUUUCGGGCGGUUUUCGCGUGUGUUUCGUUCGUGCGCCCAAACUGUCGGCGCACGCAGUCGCGCCACGUGUUGGCCAGAGCGCACACAGGCGACUGGAGCCCAUGGGCCCAACUGCUACCUCACGGCCAAACGGACGAACCGAUUCGCAAUCGCAUUCCAUCGGUGAAACGGUACAGUCGCACGCUCUCUCGCACGGGGAUUCGGCUAGCGCAGUGUGGCGCGACACUUCACUGCACUUUGGUAGGCUCUGGUCUGGCCUGUUGUGGGCUGUUGUGGUGUGUGUCUGCAGUGUAGUGAAGAAUACAUUGGAACAUUCCUUGAUUCUUGUGCGGUGUGACAUGCCUUUUGCGAUGUUUCAGUGAUGUCUUCUAGACAGUUGAGUCCUGUUACCUGAUGUUAGGAUACUUGAAAGGAUCUUGUAUGUGUUUAGUAUUAGGAGUAUCACCGUGAAUACAUCUCAUAGAAUUCGCCAGAAUCUAACCAUUUCCAGUUAAUCCAACAAGAAGGUUAGUAUUUAACUGUGCCCGUGUGUGCUCUCGCUCGCCACAUUACCAUUCCCUCGGUGCCGGUUUGUUGCCAUGUGUCUGGUGCGCGUGUCUCGCAUUAGGAACACGUUUAGUCCUGUCCGCACGAAUGCGUGUGCCCUUCGCCCGCUUUCGAGCGUUACGUGUCGCAUAGCUUUGCGGCGGUAUUCGGUUGCAUGAAAUUUGAAAAUUAAAUUUACUUGAUCUCCCGGCUUUCGGCGACAGAGCGUGGGUUACGCGGGACGGUAAACACAGCGACACAUUCCGGCAUGCACGAGAGCUGUCCAAACACGGUCGUGCCAGCUCUUCCAGACUUGCACCGGGCUUAAAGUUACUACAUACAGACGCAAACAGACACAGCGAGCGAAACUCGGGGACGGGUUUUGUCUGUUUCAUUUCCGCGCGCGAUCUAACGAUCUUUUUGUCUUGGAAUUCAUGCCUUUUUUUCUGCUUUUGCUGUACGCUUUCUUUCUGCAGACUAUCAUCGGGAGCCGCCUGAAUCGUCAGAUGAACCGCUACGUCGUCGUUGCCCUUUUUUUUUUGAAUGUUAGAAGAUUACGAAACCGGAGGCAAGAUCUAACAAAAACGAAGAAAUUUGCACGAGAACGUCGCGAACACUGCAGCACGCAAAAUGAACCACCACGAGAGAGGAAGAAGGGGUAUAGAGCGCCUGUGUGUGUGUGCGUGUUUCAUUACUCUCCCAUAAUAAGCUGUGCUGCUCCCCUACGCAAAUUUUCGUCGGAGCGUCGUCAUUGCGUGUGUUUGAAGCUGCCAAACCCUGCCCCGAAACGAAAAACGCACCCCAAAAAUUGUUCGAAUAGGGGAGAAUUAGUGAGAAUUCACCAGUGCGUGUGCGUGUGUGUCCAUUUUGAGAUGGAGAGAGAGGGAGAGAGAGCAGAAAUUCGUGAGUGCGCUAUACUUCGCGAACGAAACCGAGAGAAGGAGAGAGCUCACACAAGAGGGGUUAAAAAGAAGGAUGAAGAGAGCGCGUACGUACCGCGGAAUGUAUUCUUGAGCGAAAGCGAGAGGCAUCGGAGCAACCUGAAGCGAGAGAUACAACAGCAAACAAAAAAAAAACAGAAAAAAAACCCGGAAGUACCGCAACCCCCGUUUAUGUCAAAAACGCAACCCCCAUCGUGGUAGGGGUGAGAUCGAGCGCGAGCGUUUCGUGAGAGAAAACUACCGAAAAACCCUCUCCUUCGGCGCGAGAGCGAAACGCGCCUUGGCUCGUGGGGGGAUGUUCAGCGUUCAGGGCAACCGAUCGGAUGCCUCCGGUUUUAUUGAAGUUUGAAUUUGGGCAGCGUUCGGAUCGGGGUAGUACAGCCUCUCGUGCACUGGCUGGCAGCUCGGUCGUGCCUCCGCUGCCUCCCCAGUGUGUAUGUGUGUCCGUGUGUGUUCCUGUAUGUGUGUAUACGUGUGUGCGUGUGUGCACAUACACACGGGGUGAUGGCGCUUUUGCGUUCGCGGCUGGCCGUCACUUUUCCUUGUGAAGGGAUCCUGGACAGUGGUUAGUGCCGCUAGUAGUAGUGCCCGUUUACCGUCGUACAGUGCGCUUUCUCCACCCGGGUCGUGUGGUGGUCCUUUCGCCGUCCGGUUUGGGGUGCAAUGUCCUUUCGAAUGCUGAACCAACAACAUCAUCAGCAGCAGCAGCAGUAGCCGUAUCCUUAGCAACUAUCAUAGUUUGCAGUGUUAUAAGUGUGAGCUACAUGCAUCGAAGUUUUGUGGAAUCGGAUCGAGAACUAGUAUUUUAGAAGUAGUUUAGAAGUUUGUGUUUCGAGUGAUUUUUUUUAUAAUGAAACCGGUCGCUAAACUUUCCAGUGUCUGCGGUAAUGGAUGUGCGUGCUUUUCUUAGUUUGCCAUCGUUGAGUGCAGUUUUGAGUUGCAAUUUUUCGGCCAGCUGAGUGCAUUCGUUUGAGUCGCUUUGUGUUUCAUCGGUGUUUGCUUGGUUGGUUUCUGUUUUGCAAGUGUAUUGUGGAAUUGAAACGAUUGACACUUUCUUCAAAUCAACACUGCCGAUGUUUAGUUGCCGCCGUGUACGCACAAGAGUGCUGCUUGCAGUGCAUUUUUUGUUAAUUUUCUGUUUGAAUACAACGCUGAGUGUUUGCAAGAAAGCUGCUGCUGUUGCUGUUAUAAAAGAGAUGCUAGUAAUUCGCUUUCCCCAUCGGCCAACCCAACCGCACCAGGCUCCCGAUUAGAAACGUCCUCUAGGUACGGGCUGUGGUGGUGACCAAAAGUCAGCUGUAAUUUCGGAGAAUCAACAUCGCCACUGCGCCAUGUACACAGUGCACUCUCACCACCAGUUUACGUGCGUGGCUGUGGGCAAUCACAUCACUUGCUUUUCUAAAUUCAUCAACCGAGCAGCGCGCGUCCUGGACUGCAGUUUGGGGCUGCAAUUUUGCGGACCAUGUCACAGGUGCUACAAACUGAAUGUCGGAAGCGUCGGAUUCUUUAAGCAGAGACUCAAGGCUCAAGGGAUAAACCGAAACGCCGAUUAUUUCACCACGGUAAGUACAUGCCAAAGUCGUCUCCAAUUGCUUUUCCUUCGCCUCUGUACCUGUCCUAGUUUGUAGCUUGUAAAACGUAACAAAGAUUGGUAAAAUAUAAAUAUACGUCCCACGUGGGGUUUUGGUCCUUCGAACCGGAUUUCUUGAAAGUCGCAAAAUGUCGUCCUAAAGACAGCAGACGCGUACCACGCGUUACCAAUCCAAUCAAAAGUCGGUUGCUCGGCUGCAGCGCCGACCCACAAAUUUGUUCUACAACUGCAGCCAAUGGAAGCGAACGCUAAACUUUAUCCAUUUGUUAGCGUACCUACCACCGGAGCCUUACAACAACAAUCACACACAAAAAACUUUGAAGUGAUGGUCGCCGCAUUCUUUUCUUUUUUCCUGUACUGGUGGCACUUUACCAAACCGUUUAUGGAUUCUCUCGUUUAGCUAACAAGUUGGGGCUGCGUUUUCUUUUCAUUCUGAUUCCGAGCGCCUUGCUGAACGCUUGUUUACAUACCUUGACGCGUCGGUGGCUGGCGUGGUCUUUUUUUUUUCGGCUGGCAGAUUUAUCGCCUCUCUCCCGCUUGCGUACGAAACGAAAACGUACAAGAAAACGCUUUCCUCCUCCACAGCUGUACAGUGUAAACAGUGGGGGCGAAAAGUUGCUGUGUAGGCACCGAACCAUCACCAAAACCCAGCAGCAGCAGCAGCAGCAGCCCGUGCCAAUGUCGUCGGGCUUUCUUCGUCGGGCCCCGUUUCCCGUGGCAACGCGUCACUCAAACUUGUCGUGAGGACGCGGGCAGCAGCGUGGCAGUAGCAAGCAAGGACGCUUUUCAACAUCAUUAUUUAUAUUACCGCCCCAUGACAGUUGCAUCAUUUUUCACGUUUCCAUUGCUUUGCUACCGAACCGGGCGCCGAACCGUUGUUGACUUGAUUUGCUUUUGUGUUUCCGUCACAAGCUCGAGAAGCUGAGCCGCUGCCGGUGUAGGUUUGUUUCUUUACUGCUUCGUUCCUUCAUGUCUGAUCGCAGCAUAGCAAAUUACCUCUUGAAAACCCGUCUUGCUUGGAGCUGCCGAGUCGGCGUG